rnacentral:lncRNA from 1 species
UAUCCCAGAUAGGUAUGUCUUUUAUUGGGGAUGAACAAAGAAAAAAAGCCUUAAUUCAAAGGAGUAUAUUUUCAAAAGUGAAAUUUCAGGCAGGGUGUUAGGAUAGGCUAAACUGUCAUCCAAGAUUCAAACACAAUGGAAUUUUAUUUCUCGUGCACCUAACAGUCCAGUGUGGAUAUUUGGGUUAUUGGACGGAUUUCCUUUAUGUGGUCAUUCAGAGCCCCUCUGGUGAGGCCUCUGGUUAUAUGCAGCCAGAAGUGGAGGGGAAGGAGAGUGUGGAGGCCCAGCUGCUGUCUUGAGAGCUCAGAUUCAGGAGAAGCACUCCAUCUGGGCUGAUCGUUCACCGAGAGAACUUAGUCACAUGGUCUCCUCCUUUGCCAGUUGCUGUUGUUUUAUUCUGGAAGUAAAGGAAUAUGGAUUUUGGCAGACAACCAACAGUCUCAGCCCAAAUCAACAGCCCACAGUGUGGAGAUUUGUUGCUUGGGAGGGGUGCAGACAAAGAGGAAGAUGAUCUUCUUCCUAAUGUGCCUUCAACUGUGUCCUGUAGCUCCUCAUCACCUCCACCUAAGCUGAAGCCCAGUGCUGCUGAUGCAAUGAACUCCCAGGAGUUUUCAAAUUUACUAACAUCAUUUUAACUCUCUGUGGCUCAGCCUAGGUUUGUAACAGUAGAAAAGUACAAUGUGGACCUGCAUAUCACUGGCCAGUAGAUCUUCAAGAGCCAGCUCCUUCAGGCUCCAAGCAGACCCUGAACUCAAGGGUAAAUCACCAACGUCCUGAGAUGGGAAGGUGCAGCUUGAUCCCACUCACUAACUCGAAGCCUUUGCUUUGCUGGGGAUCAUCCAGGCUACUGACUUCUCCUUUUCCCUGGUUUCUUCUCUUUUCCCAGACAAGUUGCACUGCUGAUCAUCAGCAGACAAGUUGCACUGUUGAUCAGCACCUGAACCAGGUGGUGCCGAGAAGGAGACAGAGAUGAUGAAAUAAACAUCAGCUUGGUAAUUACUUCUUAAGCCUGAUGAAAAUAGAGUUGACCGGUUGCAGCUGAA